AUCCAGAUGACGAGUUCCAAAUACAACGAAAUGUGCGUCAUGGAU
rnacentral:hammerhead_ribozyme from 1 species